CUGAUACAGAGAUUAGCCUGGCCCUUGCACAAGGAUAACACACAAAUUCAUGAAGAGUUCCAUAUUAAA
ensembl:snRNA U6 U6 spliceosomal RNA